rnacentral:rRNA from 1 species
AGAGUUUGAUCCUGGCUCAGAACGAACGCUGGCGGCAGGCUUAACACAUGCAAGUCGAACGCAUCCUUCGGGGUGAGUGGCAGACGGGUGAGUAACGCGUGGGAACGUGCCCUUCAGUUCGGAAUAACCCAGGGAAACUUGGGCUAAUACCGGAUACGUGCGAGAGCAGAAAGAUUUAUCGCUGAAGGAUCGGCCCGCGUCUGAUUAGCUAGUUGGUGAGGUAAUGGCUCACCAAGGCGACGAUCAGUAGCUGGUCUGAGAGGAUGAUCAGCCACAUUGGGACUGAGACACGGCCCAAACUCCUACGGGAGGCAGCAGUGGGGAAUAUUGGACAAUGGGCGCAAGCCUGAUCCAGCCAUGCCGCGUGAGUGAUGAAGGCCUUAGGGUUGUAAAGCUCUUUCGUCCGGGACGAUAAUGACGGUACCGGAAGAAGAAGCCCCGGCUAACUUCGUGCCAGCAGCCGCGGUAAUACGAAGGGGGCUAGCGUUGUUCGGAAUCACUGGGCGUAAAGGGCGCGUAGGCGGCUUGAUAAGUCGGGGGUGAAAGCCUGUGGCUCAACCACAGAAUUGCCUUCGAUACUGUCUGGCUUGAGACCGGAAGAGGUAAGUGGAACUGCGAGUGUAGAGGUGAAAUUCGUAGAUAUUCGCAAGAACACCAGUGGCGAAGGCGGCUUACUGGUCCGGUUCUGNNGCUGANNNNCGAAAGCGUGGGGAGCAAACAGGAUUAGAUACCCUCGUAGUCC